CCUCUUACGGGAACAUGCGGGGAUAUGACAGGACUGUUUUGUUGCUCUUUUUUGAAACAGAUAGUUCCUGCUCUGAAUUCUGAAUGGGCAAGCCGUGUUUAAAGGUGUUGUGUGAUAGAAAAUCAUGGAAAAACAAAAACGACAUUUCGUUGGUAAGAAUGUUGGUAUCCGAACAAGCGCGGCGGUACACAGUGACUUCCGUUAAUUUUGUGUUUAUUUAGUCAAUGGGUAACGCCAUUGUUCAGUUACCAACAUUCUUCAAAAUAUCUUCUUUCGUGUUCUGCAGAUGAAAGAACGUCAUACAGGUUUGGGUGAGUACAUGAUGACAGAAUUUUCAUUCUUGGGUGAACUGUCACUUUAAUGCAUCAGGCUGCAUAAAGUUAUAAAGGUUAUAAUUUAGCAGAAUUAUUUUGUUUAUUAUUGCAGAAUGUUAUUAUAUGCGUUGAGGUAAUCUAUCUAUUUAUCGGUCUGUUUAAUUUGUCAUUUCUCUUAUCUUGUUGUUGUUGUUGUUGUUGCUGAUGUUGUUGAGCUUUUACCGUAGUAAAAUAACUGUAUCUUAAUUCCUUCAUGACUGAUUGCUUCAAUUAUAGUUGCAGAUAUUAUCCAUUGUUGUAGUACUAAUGUGAUAGAAUCUGAAAAAUGUCCUUCGUAUUUACAAAGGUCACUUCCUUUUUUUUUGUUAUGCAUAAUUGAUUUUAAACUUUAGUAAGGUAACACAGAUCUGUCAACACUCGAUACUAGUACAUUUUUAUUCAGAGGCUCACAUGACCGGAUACUGGACUGCACAACAGACCUCACACUAUUACAAAAUUAUUUCCAUUUCUUCCCACCAGGGGGCGCUAGAGAUCGAGCAGAAAAUGGAGGUCGUCUGGGCAGCUGAUAGUCCAUCAUUCCGUAACUCCAGUUCAUCUAGACGCACUACUCGUGUCUGUAUCUGUAAUGACUGGCACUGUUCCUGUAAUUUCCGUGUUCCAACAUACUCUGUCUGGUACAGUCUGAAUCCGUCCAACCCAGCGCGAUCAGAGAGUGUAGGCCUACUUUUGUUGGAACUGCUCAUACUUUGAGUAGCAAGACUGUUCCACAUGGACCAAUGCAGGUUAACAUCUCAACGCAGCGCAGAUUUGGGCAGCGUACACACGACGGCCCUCGCUCAUUUCAGCCUCUGGGGAGCUCACUCGGGUGGUCCCAUCAGGUAGAGUCUUAUUCUAAACUUUACGGCGAAGAUUAAACGCCAUCUUGGAACCAUCUCUGGCUGGUUCGGAGUUUGAAUGACACCUUCAACAGCAGAACCCAAAAUGACCUCAGCAUGCAGAGAUACUGGAGCAAACAGCUGCUUAAUCCCAGAGGCAGUGUACUCCUCCCAGACUAACAUUAAACAUAGUCUUUACCUUCCUGAAAGCGGCGCGCAUCUGUGCCUCUUCCUGCCAGAGAUGUCUGGUUACAGCUGUCUGAUGAGAGGUGGGCCGUCGUCAGGGAAACCGCUUCAUUAGGGCUGUAAUUAACAUGAUGUUGCUAGACAAUGGAUACCAUGGUGAUAGACUCUCUUUCGGUGGAGACGACACUGUGCAGAUGCUUCUCGGAGUUGACAAAGCCACAUGGCGAUGGCGUGAUUCUAAGAGCCCGGGGUUGGCGGCUGAAGGCCUGGUGGUUUGAGUCCGGCACAAUGAGCCGACCCAGUUUCAUCGAUCGCGGGCAUCGCAAAGCUGGCGCAGACUCAAAGAAACGCGGUGAAUCAACCGCACUAGUCCUUGACAGGUCCUGUAGGUCUCCACAUGCGUCUGGAGUGUUUGAGCAGCUGGUGUCUCUUAACCGAGAGAGAUCUUCUCACAGGCUCUCUCUCCUGAGGAAACACCUCUGCUGUAUGUAAGAUGACCACACAUCUAGCACAAAACCCACCGCCGCCCAUCCGUGCACAGAAUCGUUCCUGUUCUUGAACGGGUGCCAGAACAGCCGUGGUUUCGCUCUGUGCAAACCUGUUUGUUUGGGCCGUGUACCCGGCAGAGUUGUUUCUGUCACAGCCGUCAGUGUCUGGCCUUCUGCUCGACUUGCUGAGAUUCCUCAGGGAUGGAAUAAUCACAGGUGAGGGUGUAGCCUGACAUCGAAGUAAAAUAACCCUAUAUUGUAUAAACAUUACAUCACUGCUUCUAUAAGUCAGGGCUGGCAGCGGUCCACGUGUUAUUAGCUCUGGUGUGCUUGAGAGAAAGGGAAGUGUUUUGUUUUAUAUUGGAAUCGUUUGCCUUCAUUUACAUACUUUUAACGGGGUUUGAUAAGACAAGUAUCUCUGUUUUGGAAACAUCACUGUUUUCGAACAUGUGCAGAUUGCGAUUUGUCUUGCGAUUUACAGGUGGACAGUAUGAAUAUAUUUCAUUGAGUUGUGAAGGAUCUGAACCAUAUCCAUAUCUAAAAAACAAGAAUAUUUUAAAAAUCACCAUGGCAACAUUUGCAUUUAUCCCUUUCAGCUUUUUUCCAAUUCAGCCCUCUGGCUAUAUUU